CGUUAGCGGCGGGCUUAACACAUGCAAGUCGAGCGAGAAAGGGGCUUCGGCCCUGAGUACAGCGGCGGACGGGUGAAUAACACGUAGGUAACCUUCCUUUCAGCGGGGGACAACGGUCCGAAAGGACCGCUAAUACCGCAUACGUUCCCUAGGACCUCGGUCCUGGGGAGGAAAGGCCCGCAAGGGCCACUGGAUGAGGGGCCUGCGUAGCAUCAGCUAGUUGGUGGGGUAAUGGCCUACCAAGGCGAAGACGCUUAGCUGGUCUGAGAGGAUGAUCAGCCACACUGGGACUGAGACACGGCCCAGACUCCUACGGGAGGCAGCAGUGGGGAAUAUUGGACAAUGGGCGCAAGCCUGAUCCAGCCACGCCGCGUGAGUGAUGAAGGCCUUCGGGUCGUAACGACUCUGUGGGGAGGGGACGGAACGGACGGCCACU
rnacentral:rRNA from 1 species